rnacentral:rRNA from 1 species
AUGCAGUAGAACGCUGAAGAGAGGAGCUUGCUCUUCUUGGAUGAGUUGCGAACGGGUGAGUAACGCGUAGGUAACCUGCCUUGUAGCGGGGGAUAACUAUUGGAAACGAUAGCUAAUACCGCAUAACAAUGGAUGACACAUGUCAUUUAUUUGAAAGGGGCAAUUGCUCCACUACAAGAUGGACCUGCGUUGUAUUAGCUAGUAGGUGAGGUAACGGCUCACCUAGGCGACGAUACAUAGCCGACCUGAGAGGGUGAUCGGCCACACUGGGACUGAGACACGGCCCAGACUCCUACGGGAGGCAGCAGUAGGGAAUCUUCGGCAAUGGGGGCAACCCUGACCGAGCAACGCCGCGUGAGUGAAGAAGGUUUUCGGAUCGUAAAGCUCUGUUGUAAGUCAAGAACGAGUGUGAGAGUGGAAAGUUCACACUGUGACGGUAGCUUACCAGAAAGGGACGGCUAACUACGUGCCAGCAGCCGCGGUAAUACGUAGGUCCCGAGCGUUGUCCGGAUUUAUUGGGCGUAAAGCGAGCGCAGGCGGUUUGAUAAGUCUGAAGUUAAAGGCUGUGGCUCAACCAUAGUUCGCUUUGGAAACUGUCAAACUUGAGUGCAGAAGGGGAGAGUGGAAUUCCAUGUGUAGCGGUGAAAUGCGUAGAUAUAUGGAGGAACACCGGUGGCGAAAGCGGCUCUCUGGUCUGUAACUGACGCUGAGGCUCGAAAGCGUGGGGAGCGAACAGGAUUAGAUACCCUGGUAGUCCACGCCGUAAACGAUGAGUGCUAGGUGUUGGAUCCUUUCCGGGAUUCAGUGCCGCAGCUAACGCAUUAAGCACUCCGCCUGGGGAGUACGACCGCAAGGUUGAAACUCAAAGGAAUUGACGGGGGCCCGCACAAGCGGUGGAGCAUGUGGUUUAAUUCGAAGCAACGCGAAGAACCUUACCAGGUCUUGACAUCCCGAUGCUAUUUCUAGAGAUAGAAAGUUACUUCGGUACAUCGGUGACAGGUGGUGCAUGGUUGUCGUCAGCUCGUGUCGUGAGAUGUUGGGUUAAGUCCCGCAACGAGCGCAACCCCUAUUGUUAGUUGCCAUCAUUCAGUUGGGCACUCUAGCGAGACUGCCGGUAAUAAACCGGAGGAAGGUGGGGAUGACGUCAAAUCAUCAUGCCCCUUAUGACCUGGGCUACACACGUGCUACAAUGGUUGGUACAACGAGUUGCGAGUCGGUGACGGCAAGCUAAUCUCUUAAAGCCAAUCUCAGUUCGGAUUGUAGGCUGCAACUCGCCUACAUGAAGUCGGAAUCGCUAGUAAUCGCGGAUCAGCACGCCGCGGUGAAUACGUUCCCGGGCCUUGUACACACCGCCCGUCACACCACGAGAGUUUGUAACACCCGAAGUCGGUGAGGUAACCUUUUGGAGCCAGCCGCUAAGGUG